rnacentral:rRNA from 4 species
GGUUGACCUCGGAUCAAGUAGGGAUA